rnacentral:rRNA from 1 species
AGAUUGAACGCUGGCGGCAUGCCUUACACAUGCAAGUCGAACGGCAGCACGGGAGCAAUCCUGGUGGCGAGUGGCGAACGGGUGAGUAAUAUAUCGGAACGUGCCCAGUCGUGGGGGAUAACGCAGCGAAAGCUGUGCUAAUACCGCAUACGAUCUAUGGAUGAAAGCGGGGGAUCGCAAGACCUCGCGCGAUUGGAGCGGCCGAUAUCAGAUUAGCUAGUUGGUAGGGUAAAGCCUACCAAGGCGACGAUCUGUAGCUGGUCUGAGAGGACGACCAGCCACACUGGAACUGAGACACGGUCCAGACCUCCGUACGGGAGCAGCAGGUGGGGUAAUUUUAGGACAAGUGGGCGCGAAGCCGUGACUCCAG